GAUGAACGCUAGCGGCAGGCCUAAUACAUGCAAGUCGAACGGUUUCUUCGGACAUAGUGGCGCACGGGUUCGUAACACGUAUGCAACCUACCUUACAUUGGGGGAUAGCCUUUCGAAAGUGAGAUUAAUACCGCAUAAGACAGUAGCUGGGCAUCCAGCAGCUGUUAAAGAUUUAUCGAUGUAAGCUGGGCAUGCGUCCAAUUAGCUAGUUGGUGAGGUAACGGCUCACCAAGGCAAUGAUUGGUAGGGGAACUGAGAGGUCAAUCCCCCACACUGGCACUGAGAUACGGGCCAGACUCCUACGGGAGGCAGCAGUAGGGAAUAUUGGGCAAUGGACGCAAGUCUGACCCAGCCAUGCCGCGUGCAGGAUGAAGGCGUUAUGCGUUGUAAACUGCUUUUAUACAGGAAGAAACGACUCUUGCGAGAGGCAUUGACGGUACUGUAUGAAUAAGCACCGGCUAACUCCGUGCCAGCAGCCGCGGUAAGAC
rnacentral:rRNA from 1 species